rnacentral:rRNA from 1 species
CCUACGGGAGGCUGCAGUGAGGAAUAUUGGUCAAUGGACGGAAGUCUGAACCAGCCAUGCCGCGUGCAGGAAGACGGCUCUAUGAGUUGUAAACUGCUUUUGUACAAGGGUAAACCUGAAUACGUGUAUUCAGCUGAAAGUACUGUACGAAUAAGGAUCGGCUAACUCCGUGCCAGCAGCCGCGGUAAUACGGAGGAUCCAAGCGUUAUCCGGCUUUAUUGGGUUUAAAGGGUGCGUAGGCGGAUUGAUAAGUUAGAGGUGAAAUGUCCGAGCUUAACUCGGGAACUGCCUCUAAUACUGUUGAUCUAGAGAGUAGAUGCGGUAGGCGGAAUGUAUGGUGUAGCGGGGAAAUGCUUAGAGAUCAUACAGAACACCGAUUGCGAAGGCAGCUUACCAAUCUAUAUCUGACGUUGAGGCACGAAAGCGUGGGGAGCAAACAGGAUUAGAUACCCGAGUAGUC